CACUAUAUCAGCCAUGCCGGUCUUCGGGCCGGCUAUGGCGAUAAAUGAGCGGUGUAAUAAACCUAUUGGACCCGGGGGCGGUACCCGGCGCCUCCACCAAAAACUGGUCGGGCAAGACCGGCUUUUGAUGGGGGCGAAACAGGAUCGACAAGGGUGUAAAGAUCGACUUUUCGCUCGGCAUUGUACCACCGUUAUCGGGCUAAAAUUGUAGUUGCAAACGACAACUAUGCGGAAGCUCGUCUCGCUGCUUAAUCGCAGUGUGGCACUUCAAAUAAAGUCCUA
rnacentral:tmRNA from 1 species